rnacentral:rRNA from 1 species
CCCUUAGAUGUUCUGGGCCGCACGCGCGCUACACUGACGAAGUCAGCGAGCAUGUCCUACGCCGACAGGUGCGGGGAAUCUUGUCAAACUUCGUCGUGAUGGGGAUUGAUUUUUGAAAUUCUUGAUCAUAAACGAGGAAUUCCUAGUAAGCGCAAGUCAGCAGCUUGCGUUGAUUACGUCCCUGCCCUUUGUACACACCGCCCGUCGCUACUACUGAUUGGAUGUUUAAGCGAGGUUCUCGAACUGCUAGCGACUUAGCUUCGGUGAGGUCGCAGUGUGGGAAGUGAACCUAGCUUUGGUGUCUAGAGGAAGUAAAAGUCGUAACA